rnacentral:rRNA from 1 species
AUACGGAGGGUGCAAGCGUUGUCCGGAUUUAUUGGGUUUAAAGGGUGUAUAGGCGGUGUAUUAAGUCAGUGGUGAAAGCCUGCGGCUCAACCGUAGAACUGCCAUUGAUACUGACACACUUGAGUAUGGACGAGGUAGGCGGAAUUUAUGGUGUAGCGGUGAAAUGCAUAGAUACCAUAAAGAACACCGAUAGCGAAGGCAGCUUACUAGGCCAUAACUGACGCUGAGGCACGAAAGCGUGGGGAGCGAACAGGAUUAGAAACCCUAGUAGUCC